GCCAAACCUUCAACUCUUCAACUACAGAUCCGGUACGCUUGGGCUCAAUGCUCAACUUGCCAAUGUUUCAGUUUAAGAAGCAAAAUCAUGUCACCUAAACAUACGAUGUGAAGGUGAAAUAACAAAAGUUCAAAGUAAAGCUAAAGCCCCCGUCAUUUCUUCCACGAGGCGUCAAGCUCAAUUCUCAUGGGACCAUAGAACAAAAAUAUUCCUACAUUUUCUUUCCUUCUCUCCUCUUCUCUGCUAUGAAUUCCAUUAAUCUGCUCAUCUCAACAAUGGGUUUGAAAGUUUGUGUGAGAGCGGCUGUUGGUGCUCCUGAACAUUGCACCUAGGUCUUUUCAGUCUAAGGGUUCUUCUUACAUUACAAGAGAAGAAAAUCCCUACCCAAUGCAUUUCAUUGAUCUUUCUAACAAACCCAAAUGGAGGUAUAUGGGUACCAGUAGUGAAAUGUUAUGGUAAACAAAACGGGUACCAGAUUCGGAUGUUAUUACUCAAAUUCUUUGAGAAGAAAUACCCAAAACCAUCUCUUGUUACGCCUCAGCGCAAUCUCUCAUUCACUCUGAGUCUGAACCCCAUUGUUCGUUGAUGGCAGAGGAUGGAUCUUUGUUUACCUUCUUGAAGAGUAAGAUUGCUAGUGAUGUUCAAAGCAAGCAUUGAUGUGUGAAUUGUUUGCAUUGGGGAGCCAUCUCAAAGCUCAUGUCCGUAUGUGCUUUGCUUGUGGAACUAUUAGUUUCUUUGGUUAUUUAUGGGUUCUUGAAAAUCAACGAUUGCUGGUAUACUGGGAUAAACCCACUUGAGUCCACCACCAAAUUAGUUGAAAGAGGUUUGAAGGGGAGCACCAACUGAAGCUUGCUUUUGAUAGAAAAUGGCACCAAACUUCAUAAGAGAUAGAGUAAUGCUCCAAAAAGUGAGAUAGGCAUCUAGCAUGUUUUAUGCAGAAGAUAGCAAUUGGCCAAAGUGUGGUCUCUCCUUGGAUGACUAUCCAGUGUGAAAAUGCUAUCUGAAAAUGGAAAUUUUGAGAUGUCAAAUGAAAGAUAUGGGUAGAGAGAGGAACUUGGACAUACAAGCAAUUAGUACAUGGGAUUACCAUUGACCACGAAGUAUGUUCAGAGCCUGUAAUGAUGAAAUAUUAUGGGAUUGCUUAUACAUUAGUCAUUUUCCAAUACGUGUUUUGAUGUUGCUGAGAAUUCAAUUUUAUGAAUAUAGCUCAAUUGUGGCAAUGGACUUCCGGAGAUUUUUGCUUGCGUGAAGGGAGCUUCAGCGGUGCAUUUUCAGGAUCCGAAUGAAAAAACAGCUCAGCUGGGUCAUUGUCCCGUAAUAAAAAGACCCAGUUUCUCAGGCCAGGUUUUCUAGUUGAGGUUAAGCUAGUUGAAGCACCCUUAGAGGAUUAGUAGUAAUAAUGCUCAAGGUGAAGAGAAUCGUGCAAGCAAGCUUAUUCUCACUUCCCAAACGCCAUUUUGUCUUUGGUGAGCUUAUUCUCUCUUCCGGGGAGCGAAGUUGGUAGCAUAUGACCAAGCAUUGUUGUUCACUGGGUCAGCAAGGUGGUCUGCGAGGUUUUCUAGAGGACCUUUUCUAGUCACAGAAGCCUGAACGAAGAACCCAAAACUGGAGAACUUAGCGAGGCGACCAUUCUUUAGUUCCUUUACCUUUAGCUCGGAAAAUGCCUCUGGGUCCUCUGCGGGGCCUAAGUAAAGUGGAUCGACGAUGUCACCUAGUGGAUCACCGGCAACUCUGUAUCCCUCAACAGCCCCCACAAGGAUGACCUGUGUGGCCCAAAUAGCUAAGAUGCUCUGUGCAUGAACCAAACUGGAGUUGCCUAAGAUCGGGCAUUGAACCAAACUGCUUUGCGGAAUUUGACUCCAUUUCUGGAGAGUAGUUCAGGGAAGACACAUCCCAAAGCGCAAGCAUCGCCCACCUUGGAUGGACCACCUCAAGUUCACGGUUCUUUGCAAAGGUCUGGAUCAGCUGAUAGUCCAGCAGUGUCCCAACCGUAGUCACCAGCGAAUUCACCAGUCAGGUAAGAAGGAGACUCACUAAAAACAGGACCAAGAUACUUGACACGGUCUGGACCGUACCAUGGACUUCCUGAAGAAGCAGCAGGCUUCUUUGGUGACAUCUUCCUCAUCGAAAUCUUACUGUUCCUGCUGGAUCUAACAUUGGUUGGGCUGUCUGUGAGUUUGAGUCACAGCUUGUCCUGCAAAUGAAGGAGAAGAGAGAGCCAUGGAUGCUAUUAAUAUGUUGUUUUUCUUUGUUGGCUUGAAAAUGAAAGAUUAAAUGAAAAUGGUAUUUUGAUUUGGUGAGUUACACUGAUGAAGUUCAUGUUGUUUACAUAGGAGGCUAGUAUUCUAUUAGAUAUUGAAGAUCUUCGGCUAGGUUCUCAUUGGUUGUGGAGUUGGCACCACAAAUUCAAGAAUCUGUGGGUUUUUUUUCAGCCAGGCAAUGUAUAUGUGCAUAAUGAAUUAGAUAGAGACAGUGAAUGAUACAAAAU